rnacentral:misc_RNA from 1 species
UAGAGUAGAGAAAGAGAAUCCAUAGAAUCGACCCUAUUAAAUUUUUGGGACAAAUGCUUAGUUGAGUUGAGUAUGGUAAAAAAUAACGUGGAAUAUUAAAAUUUGAAGCUAUAUGCUCUAUCAAACCCCUAGAAAAAAAAAUCGACCAAAUCAGUAGACACAUAUUAACCUUAAAUAAUAAAAAAUGAUAGCAAGAUAAUUAAAUGUCAAAAUAUAUUAAUAUAAAAUA